rnacentral:rRNA from 1 species
UACUGCUAUCAGUGUUCGAUUAAGCCAUGCGAGUUAAAUGUUCUUCGUGAACAUGGCGUACUGCUCAGUAACACGUGGAUAACCUGCCCUAAGGUCCGGCAUAACCCCGGGAAACUGGGGAUAAUACCGGAUAAACCAUAGAUACUGGAAUGUUCUGUGGUUAAAAGUUCCGGCGCCUUAGGAUGGAUCUGCGGCCUAUCAGGUAGUAGUGGGUGUAAAGUACCUACUAGCCGACGACGGGUACGGGUUGUGAGAGCAAGAGCCCGGAGAUGGAUUCUGAGACAUGAAUCCAGGCCCUACGGGGCGCAGCAGGCGCGAAAUCUUUACAAUGCGGGAAACCGCGAUAAGGGGACACCGAGUGCCAGCAUACAAUGCUGGCUGUCCACAUGUGUAAAUAGCAUGUGAUAGCAAGGGCCGGGCAAGACCGGUGCCAGCCGCCGCGGUAACACCGGCGGCCCGAGUGGUAAUCACUAUUAUUGGGUCUAAAGGGUCCAUAGCCGGUUUGAUCAGUCUUCCGGGAAAUCUGACAGCUCAACUGUUAGGCUUCCGGGAGA